rnacentral:rRNA from 1 species
UUCCCUUAGUAAGUGCGACCGAACAGGGAAAAGUCCAGCGCAGAACCUCCCGGGCCACCCGGCCUGCGGCGGAAUGUUGCGUAAAGGGAAAGGUCGUAGUCAAACCCUGCAACCACACGAACUCUAAGUAAGCCACGAAUAGGCUGUCCCAACUAACGGCGGGAAGAACUCCACGGAGGGUGUAAGACCCGUGUGGGCGUGUGUCAAUGUUGCAUGGGUUCGGCCUCUUCUCUGAGAGUCGCGUUGCUUGGGCAUGCAGCGCUAAGCAGGUCGUAAACUCGAUCUAAGACUAAAUAUUUCCACAAGACCGAUAGCAAACAAGUACCUUGAGGGAAAGUUGAAAAGCACUCUGAAGAGAGAGUCAAAAGACCGUGAAACCGUUCAGAGUAUAAGCCCAUGGCGCUUGGAAGGCUCCCGCAGCAAAUCGCAACUCAUUGGUUGUGAUGGUUCGCUGAAGUUGUUCGUUAGGUCGUGAGCGUUAACUCGUUUCUGGCCGUCAUCCGGGAAGGCAGCCGCGCUCGAAUUUGUUUUCUUGCGUGCUCCUCUUGUAUGGAAGAACGUUCUAGUCAGUGGCUAUCGCUGCGGUACAAGCCCACCACAGUUCGUUGUGAGGUCACCCACAGGCUCAAACUGUCGAUCGUGUGUUCGACCCUUGCCCCUAAGGACGUUACUGUGUUGGAGAGAGACAGGCAUUCGCGUCUUCUCUUUUCCAUCCUCUCCGAGGCAUGUUGUGUCGGGCCAGGCGACGAACCGAGAAUAUCCUGGUAUGAUCCUCGUGCGACGAUCUGAUUCUGACCGAGUUCUAAUUGCAAAUAGCGUGCUCACGUGUCGAGCAGCAAAGCCUGCCGUUUGGUCCUCUGGGCGAUGCAUCUUAUAGUGUCGACAAGAUCUCGGUGAUGCAAUCUAUGACACUCGCGUGGUGAUAAGUCCGGCACCAUCGGUCACGUCUCGAAACACGGGCCAAGGAGUAUAGCAUGUGUGCAAGUCUAAGGGUGUCACAAAACCCGAAGGCGUAGUGAAAGCAAAGCUGUGGCGAGUACGCUUCGGCACUCUCGUCAGCUAAGUGGCAGUUUACUGUUGCCUGGCUUAAGCCGAGCUGAUCCUGUUCAGUUGACUCAAUUGUCUCAAGGCAGGCGCAGGCUCCGGGCUCACCUAUCAACACUGGUUUGGGAUUUAUUUUGGGCUGUGUUGUGAGCACCGUGGAGCAUGCAUGCUAUAACCCGAAAGAUAGUGAACUAUGCCUGGCGAGGGCGAAGCCCCAGGAAACUGGGGUGGA